GUAAAGUGGGGUUAGGUCCUUUAGAUAAGGAUAAUUUGAGUGAGUUACUUUUAGGGAUAACAGCGUAAUAGUCCUAGGGAGAUCGUAUCUAUGGGGCUGAUCGCGACCUCGAUGUUGAAUUAAAAGCUCAGUGUAGAGCAGAAGCUACAGGGUGAGGGUUUGUUCAACCUUUAAAUUUUUACAUGAUCUGGUUUCAAACCGG
rnacentral:rRNA from 1 species